GACGAACGCUGGCGGCGUGCCUAAUACAUGCAAGUCGAGCGGACUUUUCGGGAGCUUGCUUCCGGAAAGUCAGCGGCGAACGGGUGAGUAACACGUGGGUAACCUGCCUGCAAGACCGGG
rnacentral:rRNA from 1 species